rnacentral:rRNA from 1 species
AUACGGAGGGGACAAGCGUUAUUCGGAAUCACUGGGCGUAAAGGACGCGUAGGCGGGUUAUUAAGUCGGGUGUGAAAUCCAAUGGCUCAACCAUUGAACUGCAUUCGAAACUGAUAACCUAGAGUAUGGAAGGGGCAGGUGGAAUUAGUGGUGUAGGGGUAAAAUCCGUAGAUAUCACUAGGAAUACCGAAAGCGAAGGCGACCUGCUGGGACAUUACUGACGCUGAGGCGUGAAAGCGUGCGGAGCAAACAGGAUUAGAAACCCCAGUAGUCC